rnacentral:rRNA from 1 species
GACGAACGCUGGCGGCGUGCUUAACACAUGCAAGUCGAGCGGUAAGGCCCUUUCGGGGGUACACGAGCGGCGAACGGGUGAGUAACACGUGGGUGACCCGCCCUCAGCUCUGGGAUAAGCCUGGGAAACUGGGUCUAAUACUGGAUAUGACUCCACGGUGCAUGUCGUGGGGUGGAAAGCCUUGUGCGGCUGAGGAUGGGCCCGCGGCCUAUCAGCUUGUUGGUGGGGUGAUGGCCUACCAAGGCGACGACGGGUAGCCGGCCUGAGAGGGCGACCGGCCACACUGGGACUGAGACACGGCCCAGACUCCUACGGGAGGCAGCAGUGGGGAAUCUUGCGCAAUGGGCGAAAGCCUGACGCAGCGACGCCGCGUGAGGGAUGACGGCCU